CCUACGGGCGGCUGCAGUGGGGAAUAUUGGACAAUGGGGGCAACCCUGAUCCAGCCAUGCCGCGUGUGUGAAGAAGGCCCUCGGGUUGUAAAGCACUUUCAGUGAGGAAGAACGCCUGGUGGUUAAUACCCAUCAGGAAAGACAUCACUCACAGAAGAAGCACCGGCUAACUCCGUGCCAGCAGCCGCGGUAAUACGGAGGGUGCGAGCGUUAAUCGGAAUUACUGGGCGUAAAGCGCGCGUAGGUGGCUUGAUAAGCCGGUUGUGAAAGCCCCGGGCUCAACCUGGGAACGGCAUCCGGAACUGUCGAGCUAGAGUGCAGGAGAGGAAGGUAGAAUUCCCGGUGUAGCGGUGAAAUGCGUAGAGAUCGGGAGGAAUACCAGUGGCGAAGGCGGCCUUCUGGACUGACACUGACACUGAGGUGCGAAAGCGUGGGUAGCAAACAGGAUUAGAUACCCGUGUAGUC
rnacentral:rRNA from 1 species